rnacentral:rRNA from 1 species
UACAGAGGUCUCGAGCGUUGUUCGGAUUCAUUGGGCGUAAAGGGCACGUAGGCGGCGGGGCAAGUCGGGUGUGAAAUCUCAGAGCUCAACUCUGAAACUGCACUCGAUACUGCUCUGCUUGAGGACUGGAGAGGAGACUGGAAUUCACGGUGUAGCAGUGAAAUGCGUAGAUAUCGUGAGGAAGACCAGUGGCGAAGGCGGGUCUCUGGACAGUUCCUGACGCUGAGGCGCGAAGGCCAGGGGAGCAAACGGG